rnacentral:misc_RNA from 1 species
GAUGAAGAACGUAGCGAAAUGCGAUACGUAAUGUGAAUUGCAGAAUUCAGUGAAUCAUCGAAUCUUUGAACGCACAUUGCGCCCGCCAGUAUUCUGGCGGGCAUGCCUGUUCGAGCGUCAUUUCAACCAUCAAGCCCCCGGCUUGUGUUGGGGACCUGCGGCUGCCGCAGGCCCUGAAAAGCAGUGGCGGGCUCGCUGUCACACCGAGCGUAGUAGCAUACAUCUCGCUCUGGGCGUGCUGCGGGUUCCGGCCGUUAAACCACCUUCAUAACCCAAGGUUGACCUCGGAUCAGGUAGGAAGACCCGCUGAACUUAAGCAUAUCAAUAAGCGGAGGA